rnacentral:rRNA from 1 species
GACGAACGCUGGCGGCGUGCUUAACACAUGCAAGUCGAACGGAAAGGCCCUGCUUUUGUGGGGUGCUCGAGUGGCGAACGGGUGAGUAACACGUGAGUAACCUGCCCUUGACUUUGGGAUAACUUCAGGAAACUGGGGCUAAUACCGGAUAGGAGCUCCUGCUGCAUGGUGGGGGUUGGAAAGUUUCGGCGGUUGGGGAUGGACUCGCGGCUCAUCAGCUUGUUGGUGGGGUAGUGGCUUACCAAGGCUUUGACGGGUAGCCGGCCUGAGAGGGUGACCGUCCACAUUGGGACUGAGAUACGGCCCAGACUCCUACGGGAGGCAGCAGUGGGGAAUAUUGCACAAUGGGCGGAAGCCUGAUGCAGCAACGCCGCGUGCGGGAUGACGGCCUUCGGGUUGUAAACCGCUUUCGCCUGUGACGAAGCGUGAGUGACGGUAAUGGGUAAAGAAGCACCGGCUAACUACGUG